rnacentral:rRNA from 1 species
UUGACCUCAAAUCAGGUGGGACUACCCGCUGAACUUAAGCAUAUCAAUAAGCGGAGGAAAAGAAACUAACAAGGAUUCCCCUAGUAACUGCGAGUGAAGCGGGAAAAGCUCAAAUUUAAAAUCUGGCGGCUUCGUCGUCCGAGUUGUAAUUUAGAGAAGCGUUUUCCGCGCCGGACCGUGUACAAGUCUCCUGGAACGGAGCGUCAUAGAGGGUGAGAAUCCCGUCUUUGACACGGACCCCGGUGCUCUGUGAUACGCUCUCGAAGAGUCGAGUUGUUUGGGAAUGCAGCUCAAAAUGGGUGGUGAACUCCAUCUAAAGCUAAAUAUUGGCGAGAGACCGAUAGCGAACAAGUACCGUGAGGGAAAGAUGAAAAGCACUUUGGAAAGAGAGUGAAACAGUACGUGAAAUUGCUGAAAGGGAAACGCUUGAAGUCAGUCGCGUCCGCCGGGAUUCAGCCGCAUGGUGUACUUUCCGGUGGACGGGCCAGCAUCACUUUUGACCGCCGGAAAAGGGCGGAGGGAAUGUGGCACCUUCGGGUGUGUUAUAGCCCUUCGUCGUAUACGGUGGUCGGGAGUGAGGACCGCCUUUGUAGGAUGCUGGCGUAAUGGCUUUAAACGACCCGUCUUGAAACACGGACCAAGGAGUCUAACAUGCCCGCGAGUGUUCGGGUGGAAAACCCGUGCGCGUAAUGAAAGUGAAAGUUGGGAAGGCUGUCGUGGCCCGCACCGACGCCCGGACCUGAGAUUUAUCGACGGUUCUGCGGUAGAGCGUGUAUGUUGGGACCCGAAAGAUGGUGAACUAUGCCUGAAUAGGGUGAAGCCAGAGGAAACUCUGGUGGAGGCUCGUAGCGAUUCUGACGUGCAAAUCGAUCGUCAAAUUUGGGUAUAGGGG